GAUGAACGCUGGCGGCGUGCCUAAUACAUGCAAGUCGAGCGAACAGACGAGGAGCUUGCUCCUCUGACGUUAGCGGCGGACGGGUGAGUAACACGUGGAUAACCUACCUCUAAGACUGGGAUAACUUCGGGAAACCGGAGCUAAUACCGGAUAAUAUAUUGAACCGCAUGGUUCCAUAGUGAAAGACGGUUUUGCUGUCACUUAUAGAUGGAUCCGCGCCGCAUUAGCUAGUUGGUAAGGUAACGGCUUACCAAGGCAACGAUGCGUAGCCGACCUGAGAGGGUGAUCGGCCACACUGGAACUGAGACACGGUCCAGACUCCUACGGGAGGCAGCAGUAGGGAAUCGGCCGCAAUGGGCGAAAGCCUGACGGAGCAACGCCGCGUGAGUGAUGAAGGUCUUCGGAUCGUAAAACUCUGUUAUUAGGGAAGAACAAAUGUGUAAGUAACUAUGCACGUCUUGACGGUACCUAAUCAGAAAGCCACGGCUAACUACGUG
rnacentral:rRNA from 1 species